rnacentral:rRNA from 1 species
UAGGGAAUCUUCGGCAAUGGACGAAAGUCUGACCGAGCAACGCCGCGUGAGUGAAGAAGGUUUUCGGAUCGUAAAACUCUGUUGUUAGAGAAGAACAAGGACGUUAGUAACUGAACGUCCCCUGACGGUAUCUAACCAGAAAGCCACGGCUAACUACGUGCCAGCAGCCGCGGUAAUACGUAGGUGGCAAGCGUUGUCCGGAUUUAUUGGGCGUAAAGCGAGCGCAGGCGGUUUCUUAAGUCUGAUGUGAAAGCCCCCGGCUCAACCGGGGAGGGUCAUUGGAAACUGGGAGACUUGAGUGCAGAAGGGGGUAGUGGAAUUCCAUGUGUAGCGGUGAAAUGCGUAGAUAUAUGGAGGAACACCAGUGGCGAAGGCGGCUCUCUGGUCUGUAACUGACGCUGAGGCUCGAAAGCGUGGGGAGCAAACAGG